UACGGGGGGGGCAAGCGUUGUUCGGAAUUACUGGGCGUAAAGGGCGCGUAGGCGGCCUGCUAAGUCGGACGUGAAAUCCCUCGGCUCAACCGAGGAACUGCGUCCGAUACUGGUGGGCUUGAAUCCGGGAGAGGGAUGUGGAAUUCCAGGUGUAGCGGUGAAAUGCGUAGAUAUCUGGAGGAACACCGGUGGCGAAUGCGGCAUCCUGGACCGGUAUUGACGCUGAGGCGCGAAAGCUAGGGGAGCAAACGGG
rnacentral:rRNA from 1 species